UGCUCUAAAGCUCUCCGUUACUGGAAAAAAGGAUUUCCACUCAAUUAAAUCAUGAAGCAGAAGAUUAUGCAGUUUGAGUCUCAAGAUAUAAAAGGUUUGAAGAGAUUGCAUAUAGGCCCAACUUAAACUCCUGCCUGCAGUCCUGUAUGUGUGACUCCUUUCUCAUCUUCAACCUGUGUUCCUCCAUCUGGCAUAAAUGAGACAGUGCCAAAAAGCGCAGAAUAAAUGACUGCUCCAGGUUAACACCCUCCGGCUCCUCUGGAAACCAGGUCAACUGCCCUAUGGAAGUACUGUCUAGCACCCAACAGAUGCCCAAAACUCCCCACCUGCCAAGCUCUGCAUGCUCUUUUGAAGCCCCUGGCUUCAAUGAGAACUUCCUCUAUUCAUGUUUUCAAAUGGAGUCCCGCUCUGUCAGCCAGGCUGGAGUUCAGUUCAGUGGCACGAUCAUAGCUCACUGCUUCCCUGAACUCCUGGGGUUCAAUCGAUCCUCCUGCUUUAGCCACCCAAGUAGCUGGGACAACAGGUUUGCAUCACCAUGUCUUGCUUAUUUUUCUUAAUUUUUGUAGAGCUAGGAUCUUGUUAUGUUGCCCAUGCUGGUCUUGAACUCCUAACCUCAAGCCAUCUUCCCACCUCAGCCUCCGAAAGUGCUAGGAUUAUAGUGAUGAACCACCAUGUCUGGCUUUUUAAAAAAAAAAAUAAUAAUAAAAAUAUUCUUUCAUCACCAAAAUCCUUCAAUGGCUUUUUUAUUAUUUUUGUUUUUAUAUCAUUAUUUCCGUCAAAGAAAACUAUAUAAUGAACUGUUUUAGGGUUUUCCUCUGUAAUGUAACAUUUCCUCUGAUAUAUGCACAAAUUAAGUGAAAAGAGAUCUAAUUUGGUAAAACCAAAACAUUUCAAAGUUUUUUAAAAGAGUCUUUUUGGCUAGGCUUGGUGGCUCACACCUAUGAUCCCGGAGCUUUAGGAGGCCAAGGUGGGCAGAUCAUUUGAGCUCAGGAAUUUGAGACGAGGCUGGGCAACAUGGUGAAACCCCAUCUCUAUAAAACCUACAAAAAUUAGCUGGGCAUGGUGACGCGCACCUGUAGUCCCAGCUACUCAUGAGGCAGAGGUGGGGGGAUCACUUGAGCCCAGGAGGUUGAGGCUGCAGUGAGUCAUGAUCAAACCACUGCACUCCAGCAUGGGUGACAGAGCAAGACCCUUUCUCAAAAAAAAACAAAUAAAAUAAAAUAAAAAAGUGCCUUUUGUGCGUGCACGUGCACACACACACACACACACACACCCAUAAUCUCUACCAGGGUUUCCUAAUUCUUAAUUAAAGAUAUCACCACUGUGACUGGAGUUUUAAGCACAUGAUCAAGU
ensembl:lncRNA